rnacentral:lncRNA from 1 species
CUGGUCACAACUUCAGUUUUAACAGUCAAUGAAUUAGCCCAAACAUUUAUAAUAAUAGUAAUAAGUGUGAAAAAAGGACAGACACGAACGUUAUAUCGAUAGAGUAAACUUUUGUUGUUAAACGUUGCUCCUGGGCAACAAACGAAGAUGUCGUGACCAGUAGUGCAAGUCCUCACUGGGAGUCCGUACCGGUCUAACGUGUGGAAAAAUCGAAUAUAGUGUACUCUCUGCUGAAAACGAAUUCUCCCCAUUCGAUAAAGUUUUAUUUUAGUUUACUUCUCUGUGAAAUACACGAGAUUUUUUUUUCUCUUCUAUUUGAGAUCCCAUGCACACAGACGCACAUUUUGCUGAACAUGAUUUUCCCCGUUUUCCCCACACAUUUAUCGUUUUUCAUUGCUUAAGUUCUAUUUUAGCUAACUUCUCUGUGAAAUACAUGGAAUUUGAUUUAUUUUGUACAGCUAUUAACAGCUAAUUAGCGAGUUGAGAUGAGCCAUAGUAUUUAUUAUAUGCAAAUCUUUUAUGUCAAAUUAUGUUGAGAUUAAUAAUGCUAAACACACGCAUAUUACAAUAGGUAUGAGUGCGUGGGUGACCCCAACGUUCAGUGUUUUAGAAUGUGCUUACGUAGUACAAACUCAUUGUUAACGGAGAGUAUGAAUGCGUGGGCGAACCUGAACGUUCGCUAGUGUGUCUGUCAAGGUUAAAUGCUUACAUAAUGUGAUAGAGCGGCUAUAAAAAGAGCAGCUUUCGCA